AAAAGUCUCUCUCAAGCUCCAUCUCCAUUGAAGCUUUCCAUGUAUCACUUCAAGCUCCAUUGAAAGCCUUCCAAGUCUCCACUGCUAGUUUUUCAAGUCUCCAUUGCCCCUGCUGUUAUAACCUUAUCAUCAAGGCCUAGUUGAUAGUCACUUGAAGUAUGGCUUGAGAUAAAAUUCAUGGAAAAUUCUCAGGUGGGAUCAAUUCUGUUAUUCGUGUAAGCAUGACAACUAUUCCCAAGCCCACUAUAGUUUUUCCUCAACAAGAUGGUAUCCAAGCAAUAUUGAAACGUCAACUCAAACUAUCAGCCCCACUAUCUAUAAGACGCCUCCAACUACACCAAAUAAGAGUAACACAGUAGGCAAGAGUCUUUCUACUAAGAGCUAUGUUCCAUCAUGUUAUACCAAUGGAGUUGCUGAAGAUGAAUCCAACACAAGUCAUACAAGGACCCAUGUCUUUCCAACUUCUGCAGAGUUGGUCUAUUCUCUUGAUUGUAUUUCUGAACUUUUAUCUACUUACUGUGCUGAACACAUUGAAGAUAUUUUAGAUAGUAUUUCACUAUCAAAAUUUUUCAUAAGUGAUGUUGAUCCCAAUGGAAUCAAUUUAAAAGGUGUCUCAACGGUUGUAAGAAAUGGUUA